AUUGAACGCUGGCGGAAUGCUUUACACAUGCAAGUCGAACGGCAGCACGGACUUCGGUCUGGUGGCGAGUGGCGAACGGGUGAGUAACAUAUCGGAACGUAUCCAAUAAUGGGGGAUAACGAGUCGAAAGAUUCGCUAAUACCGCAUACGCCCUACGGGGGAAAGCUGGGGACCUUCGGGCCUGGCGUUAAUGGAGCGGCCGAUAUCUGAUUAGCUAGUUGGUGAGGUAAAGGCUCACCAAGGCGACGAUCAGUAGCUGGUCUGAGAGGACGACCAGCAAAGCUAGAACGGAGACACGGUCCAGACUCCUACGGGAGGCAGCAGUGGGGAAUUUUGGACAAUGGGCGCAAGCCUGAUCCAACCAUUCCGCGUGAGUGAAGAAGGCCUUCGGGUUGUAAAGCUCUUUCGCAAGGGAAGAAAACUUAGCCACUAACAUUGGUUGAGGUUGACGGUACCUUGAUAAGAAGCACCGGCUAACUACGUGCCAGCCGCCGCGGUAA
rnacentral:rRNA from 1 species